UUCGUAGGCGGUGUGGCAAGUCGGAAGUGAAAUCUCCAGGCUUAACUUGGAGGCUGCUCCCGAAACUGUCAUGCUAGAGUGCGGGAGAGGCGAGUGGAAUUGCAGGUGUAGCGGUGAAAUGCGUAGAUAUCUGCAGGAACACCCGUGGCGAAGGCGGCUCGCUGGACCGCAACUGACGCUGAGGAACGAAAGCUAGGGGAGCAAACA
rnacentral:rRNA from 1 species